ACUUCCCCUAGAGGCAUUCUAAGUGUGGCUGUUGUGUCUCAAGUAGGUGGCAGAGAAGAGAGAGGCUAUGUCUGACCUGUGAACAUCUGAAUAAUUAGUAGACUGGCAUU
ensembl:snoRNA Gm25665 predicted gene, 25665